rnacentral:rRNA from 1 species
AUUGAACGCUGGCGGCAUGCCUUACACAUGCAAGUCGAACGGCAGCACGGGGGCAACCCUGGUGGCGAGUGGCGAACGGGUGAGUAAUGCAUCGGAACGUACCCGGAAGUGGGGGAUAACGUAGCGAAAGUUACGCUAAUACCGCAUAUUCUGUGAGCAGGAAAGUGGGGGACCGCAAGGCCUCACGCUUUCGGAGCGGCCGAUGUCGGAUUAGCUAGUUGGCGGGGUAAAGGCCCACCAAGGCGACGAUCCGUAGCGGGUCGGAGAGGAUGAUCAGCCACACUGGGACUGUGACACGGCCCAGACUCCUGCGGGAGGCAGCAGUGGGGAAUUUUGGACAAUGGGCGCAAGCCUGAGCCAGCCAUGCCGCGUGAGUGAAGAAGGCCUUCGGGUUGUAAACCGCUUUUAGUCGGAAAGAAAAGGCACGCCCUAAUACGGCGUGUUCUUGACGGUACCGGCGGAAUAAGCACCGGCUAACUACGUGCCAGCAGCCGCCGUAAUAC